rnacentral:rRNA from 1 species
CCUACGGGUGGCUGCAGUGGGGAAUAUUGGACAAUGGGGGCAACCCUGAUCCAGCCAUGCCGCGUGUGUGAAGAAGGCCUUCGGGUUGUAAAGCACUUUAAGCAGGGAGGAAGGCUCGUUGGUUAAUAACCAGCGGGAGUGACGUUACCUGCAGAAUAAGCACCGGCAUACUCCGUGCCAGCAGCCGCGGUAAUACGGAGGGUGUGAGCGGUCAUCGGAAUUACUGGGCGGAAAGCGUACGUCGGCGGUGAAAUCCCCGGGCUCAACCUGGGUGCUGCAUGCGAUACUGGCAGACUUGAAUACGGUAGAGGGGGGUGGAAUUCCAGGUGUAGCGGUGAAAUGCGUAGAGAUCUGGAGGAACACCAGUGGCGAAGGCGGCCCCCUGGACCGAUAUUGACGCUGAGGUACGAAAGCGUGGGGAGCAAACAGGAUUAGAUACCCCGGUAGUC